rnacentral:lncRNA from 1 species
UCUUUGUGCAUGGGCUAGAUCCAUUAUCUUUGAGCCAAGACAAGAUUACAAUUCAACAUAGGAUUCUGUUUUCAUUGAAUAUUAGCUUCAUUCCUACACUUCCAAAUUCGCCACAAACCAAACGCCACCUGCUGAAGUACUAACUCUGCCGCCACCUCCUUAUCCAAUCGCUCUAACAACCUCUACCAUCCCUUCAUAAAACUAUUGGCCCCCAUAGACGCCAUAUCAAUUUGCAAAGACGUCUCAGACC